GUUUCUUUUACUUGUUCUUCCUCCAAUGUAAGUUAAUAAAUAAUUAUAUAUCCUCUUAAUGAAUUUUUCAUCUGUUCCCAUUAGAAUCUGGCCUAGCUCAUUUGGUUCUUUAUAAAGCCCAUACGCCUUCCUAUCUUUUUCAUAUCUGGAUUGCAUCUCUAAUUGUGGCCACUAUGAUAGCUUUAUUUUCAGGAAGUGGCAUGGACUCCAACAGUUCAGACCAGAAUUCCACCCAAGUUGGCUUACAGGAAACAACCACAGUUUAGCAGCCCCCUUGCAGUGGAGACU
rnacentral:lncRNA from 1 species